rnacentral:rRNA from 1 species
GCUUACGGCCAUAUCACGUUGAGAGCACCGGUUCUCUUCCGAUCACCGAAGUUAAGCAACAUCGAGCCUAGUUAGUACUUAGAUGGGUGACCGCUUGGGAAAAAACCUAGGUGCUGUAAGCA